CUGUGCCACAGCUCGGGUCACUGUUACAAGCUGGGGCUCCUAACUCCCGUCCCCCAAGGCUGCACUGUCCUUGCCCACAAGCCCAGAGGAAGUGGGCGACUUCACAGACUUCACAUCCCACCUGCGACCUAUGACCUCUGAUGCACCUAACCGUGUCCCGCCCAAAGCGGGGAUCACCACUUCCUGGGAGGAGACUGAGCUGUGGUUGAAGAGCAAGAAUUCGAAACAGAGGGGCUUGGCUUGGUGUCCAGGCUCCAGCCCUGCUUGUUGUGUGGCCCUGGAUGAGGAGCUUUAGCUCUCUGGGUUUCCAGUGAGGAUGUGGGUGCUACGUGCCCAGAGCCUGGUACCAUCAAGGGCUCGGCAAACUGCAACGGAGUCGUGUCAAAGGAAAACACAGUGACACUUAUCAAUGCAAAUCAGGUUGUUGGAGGAGGUAUGUUGAGUCAAACAAAGCAUCAGAAAAGACCAGGAGUCAAGCACGCACUGACAAGUCAUUCAACACACAUUGACUGACGAGCUGCGGGAACAAGAAUGCCUGCCCCGUGGUGUGGCCAGCACUGCCCAGUGAAGUUCCUACAGGGAUGUAAAGAUUCUCUACCCAUGCAACCACCUACGUGUGGCUAGGAGCACCUGAAAUAGGAACUGAAUUUUAAAUUUAAAUUCCAUUUAAAUGGAAGCAGCCAGGUGGGCUACAUAAUAAUGGAUGACACCACCACCAGCAGCAGGUCUACCCAUGGUGUUAUCUUUGCUGUCUUCCUGACUUUCCUACCAGGUCCAAGCUGGGGGUGGAGACCAGGAAGAGGGCAAGGGAGACUGGAGACUCUGAAAAGAGAGGGAAAGUGGGAAGAGUAAUUUUAAAAUAACCUUUUGUGGCCGGGUGCCGUGGCUCACACCUGUAAUCCCAGCACUUUGGGAGGCCCGGGUGGGUGGAUCACCUGAAGUCAGCAGUUCAAGACCAGCCUGACCGACAUGGCGAAACCCCGUCUACUAAAAAUACAAAAAUUAGCCGGCGUGGUGGUGCACACCUCUAAUCCCAGCUACGUGGGAGGCUGAGGCAGGAGAAUUGCUCCAACCCAGGAAACAGAGGUUGCAGUAAGCCAAGAUCGCACCACUGUACUCCAGCCUGAGUGACAGCGUGAGAUUCCAUCCCAAAAAAAAUAA
rnacentral:lncRNA from 10 species